ACUCCUACGGGAGGCAGCAGUGGGGAAUUUUGGACAAUGGGCGCAAGCCUGAUCCAGCAAUGCCGCGUGCAGGAUGAAGGCCUUCGGGUUGUAAACUGCUUUUGUACGGAACGAAACGGUGAGCUCUAAUACAGUUUGCUAAUGACGGUACCGUAAGAAUAAGCACCGGCUAACUACGUGCCAGCAGCCGCGGUAAUACGUAGGGUGCGAGCGUUAAUCGGAAUUACUGGGCGUAAAGCGUGCGCAGGCGGUGAUGUAAGACAGAUGUGAAAUCCCCGGGCUCAACCUGGGAACUGCGUUUGUGACUGCAUAACUAGAGUACGGCAGAGGGAGGUGGAAUUCCGCGUGUAGCAGUGAAAUGCGUAGAUAUGCGGAGGAACACCGAUGGCGAAGGCAGCCUCCUGGGCCAGUACUGACGCUCAUGCACGAAAGCGUGGGGAGCAAACAGGAUUAGAUACCCUGGUAGUCCACGCCCUAAACGAUGUCAACUAGUUGUUCGGUGAGGAGACUCAUUGAGUAACGCAGCUAACGCGUGAAGUUGACCGCCUGGGGAGUACGGCCGCAAGGUUAAAACUCAAAGGAAUUGACGGGGACCCGCACAAGC
rnacentral:rRNA from 1 species